GACUACGACGUUGAUAGGCCGGGUGUGUAAGCGCAGCGAUGCGUUGAGCUAACCGGUACUAAUGACCCGUGAGGCUUAACCUUA
rnacentral:rRNA from 1 species